rfam:Candidatus Tachikawaea gelatinosa DNA, complete genome.
GGUGGGGUUCCCGAGCGGCCAAAGGGGGCAGACUGUAAAUCUGUUGUCAUAUGACUUCGAAGGUUCAAAUCCUUCUCCCACCA